GUAAUUCCUAAGGCCCAGUUUUAAAGAUGGGUUGAUAGCCUCCAGUGGCAGAGAGGAGAAUUUCCAAUUGUUUCUGUUCUGCAUUAUGGAUUAAUUUCUGUAUUUUCUUCCUCAAUGUACAAGUAAGAUGGCAGUUAUAUAAAAUCAUACCCAAUACAAUCAGGACUAUAAUAACAAGAGGAUAGAAGAAUGAUUUGAUUAUCUGGGAUCCAGUAGGGGACCAACCAGUAAAAGCAUCGUACCAAUGAUGGGCUAAAUCAUUCUGAAUUUGUGAACUCACCUUAAGGAGUUCUCCUUUUAGGAUAUGUGUGGCUACCUGUGUG